AUUGAACGCUGGCGGCAGGCUUAACACAUGCAAGUCGAGCGGGGAAGGGUAGCUUGCUACCUGACCUAGCGGCGGACGGGUGAGUAAUGCUUAGGAAUCUGCCUAUUAGUGGGGGACAACAUUCCGAAAGGAAUGCUAAUACCGCAUACGCCCUACGGGGGAAAGCAGGGGAUCUUCGGACCUUGCGCUAAUAGAUGAGCCUAAGUCGGAUUAGCUAGUUGGUGGGGUAAAGGCCUACCAAGGCGACGAUCUGUAGCGGGUCUGAGAGGAUGAUCCGCCACACUGGGACUGAGACACGGCCCAGACUCCUACGGGAGGCAGCAGUGGGGAAUAUUGGACAAUGGGGGGAACCCUGAUCCAGCCAUGCCGCGUGUGUGAAGAAGGCCUUUUGGUUGUAAAGCACUUUAAGCGAGGAGGAGGCUACCGAGAUUAAUACUCUUGGAUAGUGGACGUUACUCGCAGAAUAAGCACCGGCUAACUCUGUGCCAGCAGCCGCAGUAAUAC
rnacentral:rRNA from 1 species